UUACCUAAGUUCAGGGGACAAGUCAGAAUCAGGGAGAACUCUCCAAGUACGAAAACGAGCUUUCACGACUGAAGUGCAGAAAAAUCAAGCAAAGAGUGUGCCUUAUUUUUUUGCUUCUCAAUAUUAAAUUAUUUCAGAUGAAAACUGCAAUGUUCCUGCCUGAUUUAAAAACAGCAACAACUGGUCUGGACCCCACAUAAUUCAUUCUGGGAAGAACAUCCAGAAUGAACUGUUUCCAUUGACUUGUGUUAGUAUCUCAAAGCCUUUAGGAGAAAUGGCUCACAAGAUUUGCUGUACUUGCACUGCAAACAAGAACCUCCUCCUGUAUGAAGUAAAAAAAAGUGCAGUUUAAUAAGUUGAGGGAAGGGAUAUGGAGACCACCAUUCAGUGAUUAUGUUGGGCAACUGGCAAGUGAGAUCCCACCAAAAACCCAAAUCAAUGAAUUUGAUUCAGAAUGGAUGGGUGUGCUUCAUGGCAUGGGGCCAGGUUAUCUGAGGGACCGCCUCUCCCUGCUUACAUCUGCCUGUCCCAUCAGAUCCAGCAGAAGAGUUGGGUUGUGGGUCUCGUCUAUUAGGAAAUUAUACUUGGUGGGCCUGAGGAGGUGGGUCUUCUCUGCCGUGAGAUCCUGAGGUGGCUCCCUUGCUAAUCUAAUCUCUUGUGAGCUUAAUGCCUUUUAAACUUUUUAAUAAUGAUUUUUUG